rnacentral:rRNA from 1 species
GACGAACGCUGACGGCGUGCCUAAUACAUGCAAGUAGAACGCUGAAGAGAGGAGCUUACUCUUCUUGGAUGAGUUGCGAACGGGUGAGUAACGCGUAGGUAACCUGCCUUGUAGCGGGGGAUAACUAUUGGAAACGAUAGCUAAUACCGCAUAACAAUGGAUGACACAUGUCAUUUAUUUGAAAGGGGCAAUUGCUCCACUACAAGAUGGACCUGCGUUGUAUUAGCUAGUAGGUGAGGUAAUGGCUCACCUAGGCGACGAUACAUAGCCGACCUGAGAGGGUGAUCGGCCACACUGGGACUGAGACACGGCCCAGACUCCUACGGGAGGCAGCAGUAGGGAAUCUUCGGCAAUGGGGGCAACCCUGACCGAGCAACGCCGCGUGAGUGAAGAAGGUUUUCGGAUCGUAAAGCUCUGUUGUAAGUCAAGAACGGGUGUGAGAGUGGAAAGUUCACACUGUGACGGUAGCUUACCAGAAAGGGACGGCUAACUACGUG